CCUACGGGGGGCAGCAGGGGGGAAUAUUGCACAAUGGGGGGAACCCUGAUGCAGCGACGCCGCGUGAGGGAAGAAGUAUUUCGGUAUGUAAAGCUCUAUCAGCAGGGAAGAAAAUGACGGUACCUGACUAAGAAGCCCGGGCUAACUACGUGCCAGCAGCCGCGGGAAUACGUAGGGGGCAAGCGUUAUCCGGAUUUACUGGGUGUAAAGGGAGCGUAGACGGUUGUGCAAGUCUGAAGGGAAAGCCCAGGGCCCAACCAUGGGCCUGCUUGGGAAACUGGAAAACGUGAGUGCAGGAGAGGUAAGCGGAAUUCCUAGUGUAGCGGUGAAAUGCGUAGAUAUUAGGAGGAACACCAGUGGCGAAGGCGGCUUACUGGACUGUAACUGACGUUGAGGCUCGAAGGCGUGGGGAGCAAACAGGAUUAGAUACCCCAGUAGUC
rnacentral:rRNA from 1 species